UUAACCGAUUUCUUCGGAAUGAAGUUUUAGUGACUGAGUGGCGGACGGGUGAGUAACGCGUGGGUAACCUGCCUCACACAGGGGGAUAACAGUUGGAAACGGCUGCUAAUACCGCAUAAGCGCACAGUACCGCAUGGUACGGUGUGAAAAACUCCGGUGGUGUGAGAUGGACCCGCGUCUGAUUAGCUAGUUGGCAGGGCAACGGCCUACCAAGGCGACGAUCAGUAGCCGACCUGAGAGGGUGACCGGCCACAUUGGGACUGAGACACGGCCCAAACUCCUACGGGAGGCAGCAGUGGGGAAUAUUGCACAAUGGGGGAAACCCUGAUGCAGCGACGCCGCGUGAGCGAAGAAGUAUUUCGGUAUGUAAAGCUCUAUCAGCAGGGAAGAAGAAAUGACGGUACCUGACUAAGAAGCACCGGCUAAAUACGUGCCAGCAGCCGCGGUAAUACGUAUGGUGCAAGCGUUAUCCGGAUUUACUGGGUGUAAAGGGAGCGCAGGCGGAAGGCUAAGUCUGAUGUGAAAGCCCGGGGCUCAACCCCGGUACUGCAUUGGAAACUGGUCAUCUAGAGUGUCGGAGGGGUAAGCGGAAUUCCUAGUGUAGCGGUGAAAUGCGU
rnacentral:rRNA from 1 species